ACGGGUGAGUAACACGUGGGUGAUCUGCCCUGCACUUUGGGAUAAGCCUGGGAAACUGGGUCUAAUACCGAAUAUGACCACGCUCUUCAUGGGGUGUGGUGGAAAGCUUUUGCGGUGUGGGAUGGGCCCGCGGCCUAUCAGCUUGUUGGUGGGGUAAUGGCCUACCAAGGCGACGACGGGUAGCCGGCCUGAGAGGGUGACCGGCCACACUGGGACUGAGAUACGGCCCAGACUCCUACGGGAGGCAGCAGUGGGGAAUAUUGCACAAUGGGCGCAAGCCUGAUGCAGCGACGCCGCGUGAGGGAUGACGGCCUUCGGGUUGUAAACCUCUUUCACCAGGGACGAAGCGCAAGUGACGGUACCUGGAGAAGAAGCACCGGCCAACUACGUGCCAGCAGCCGCGGUAAUACGUAGGGUGCGAGCGUUGUCCGGAAUUACUGGGCGUAAAGAGCUCGUAGGUGGUUUGUCGCGUUGUUCGUGAAAACUCACAGCUUAACUGUGGGCGUGCGGGCGAUACGGGCAGACUAGAGUACUGCAGGGGAGACUGGAAUUCCUGGUGUAGCGGUGGAAUGCGCAGA
rnacentral:rRNA from 17 species